ensembl:lncRNA
GUUCGAGCUGCUGUGAACCAUGAUGUCAGGAAGAAGAAUAGCUCCUGCUGAAUGGUUCUGCUAGACAUUUGGUCACCUUGUUACGGAAGCUCAAGACUUGACUCUGCCGCAAUGUUCAAAUGUCUGGAUGCACAAACAAAAAGUAUUCUGGAGAAUCAGUUCUGAUGUUCGAGAGCAUCGAAAAACAUCUCAAGGGGUGAGCCUUCUCAUUCCUUUCCUGCAUUCCCCAGUAUAACAGCUGGAGGAAAUUUGGACUGGGUUCCAGACCCUGGAGGGGCAAUUUUAGCUCAAAUUGCUUGGAGCUACCUACAGC